ACAUGCCCCAUCAUAACUCUGAAGAACAUAGAACCCCCUCCUUCAGCUGAGACUUCCUGCAGCCAGGUGUGGUUGGAAAAUACUGCCCUGCCGCCAUGCAUCUCAGACAAUCGAUAGAGCUGUGCUCGGCAUCCCCAAGUGCAGGCAGUUAUGACGCCCGUGGAAGGACCCAGCUCGUGGCCGUGAUGUCAUAGGUGCCAGAAGCUCUGCCCAGGCAGAAAUGAACAUGAGAAACUGUUUUCCCAGCUACUGGAGUUUGGCAGAGCAGUGGACACAGAAAAUGGUGACCAAGGAGCGGGGAACAUUCUGGCUGUUGGAAGAUUUGCUUAACUCCCUGGCAGCUCCUGCCUUAAACUUUUUAUUCUUGUGGGAAAGGAACCUUAAGGAGUGAGGACAAUGACUCUGCCCAUAGGAAAUCAGGAUUCCUGUGCCUAAAUGAUGAAGCAACAGAAGGGAAGGAGCCUGCCUCGGGCUCAGGGCCACCUCCCACUCUACCUGGUGUCUCCUAAAGGGCAGAGCAACCAAGAGAGGACUGUCCACCCAGCCCUACGCAAGCCACUAACUCACAAGGCACCCUGAUGGAGAAAGGAGGCAGGAAGGAACCACAGCAGUCCACGCAAGCCACAGUCCACCAGUGACGUUGACCUGCAAGCAUUCCUGUAAACUUCUGCUCCUCAGUCACAUUAGGAUGCCCCUGUGGUCAAGGCCAGUCUCCUGCCUCAGCUGGAGCCAGCCAUCACCAUCACAGGGGACUUCCUUCCUAUAAAGGGCUGUCACUCAACAUCUCUUACAGACCUAGCUCUACCUCA